rnacentral:rRNA from 1 species
AACGAACGCUGGCGGCGCGCUUAACACAUGCAAGUCGAACGAGAAGCUGUAGCAAUACAGUUGUACAGUGGCGAACGGGUGAGGAAUACAUGGGUAACCUACCCUCGAGUGGGGAAUAACCAGCCGAAAGGCUGGCUAAUACCGCGUACGCUUCCCAAUCUGCGGGUUGGGAAGGAAAGCUCUACCGUGGGUAGAGCGCUCAAGGACGGGCUCAUGUCCUAUCAGCUUGUUGGAGGGUAACGGCCUACCAAGGCAACGACGGGUAGCUGGUCUGAGAGGACGAUCAGCCACACUGGCACUGCGACACGGGCCAGACUCCUACGGGAGGCAGCAGUGAGGAAUAUUGCGCAAUGGGCGACAGCCUGACGCAGCGACGCC